ACCUACGGGGGGCAGCAGUGAGGAAUAUUGGUCAAUGGUCGGGAGACUGAACCAGCCAAGCCGCGUGAGGGAUGAAGGUACAGUGUAUCGUAAACCUCUUUUGUCAGGGAACAAAGGCGGGGACGUGUCCCCGGAUGAGUGUACCUGAAGAAAAAGCAUCGGCUAACUCCGUGCCAGCAGCCGCGGUAAUACGGAGGAUGCGAGCGUUAUCCGGAUUUAUUGGGUGUAAAGGGUGCGUAGACGGGAAAACAAGUUAGUUGUGAAAUCCCUCAGCUUAACUGAGGAACUGCAACUAAAACUGAUUU
rnacentral:rRNA from 1 species